GUGCCAGCCGCCGCGGUAAUACGUAGGGUGCGAGCGUUGUCCGGAAUUAUUGGGCGUAAAGAGCUCGUAGGCGGUGUGUCACGUCGAUCGUGAAAACUUUCAGCUUAACUGGGAGCUUGCGGUCGAUACGGGCAUCACUGGAGUUCGGCAGGGGAGACUGGAAUUCAAGGUGUAGCGGUGAAAUGCGCAGAUAUCUUGAGGAACACCGGUGGCGAAGGCGGGUCUCUGGGCCGAUACUGACGCUGAGGAGCGAAAGCGUGGGGAGCGAACAGGAUUAGAAACCCGUGUAGUCC
rnacentral:rRNA from 1 species